UAAUGUGAAUUGCAGAAUUCAGUGAAUCAUUCGAAUCUUUCGAACGCAUCUUGCGCUCCUUGGUAUUCCGAGGAGCAUGCCUGUUUGAGUGUCAUC
rnacentral:rRNA from 1 species